AACGUAGGACACAAGCGUUAUCCGGAAUUACUGGGCGUAAAGGGCGUGCAGGCGGUUGGGUAAGUUAGGCGUGAAAGACUUCGGCUAAACCGGGGGAGGUCGUCUGAUACUGCUCAACUUGAGUAUGGUAGAGGCGUGUAGAAUUCCGGGUGUAGUGGUGAAAUGCGUAGAGAUCCGGAGGAAUACCAGUGGCGAAGGCGGCACGCUGGGCCAUAACUGACGCUAAGACGCGAAAGCAUGGGUAGCGAACGGG
rnacentral:rRNA from 1 species